GCCGGCAUAGCUCAGUUGGUAGAGCGUUUGUUUUGUAAACAAGGGGUCGGGGGUUCGAGUCCCUCUGCCGGCACCA
rnacentral:tRNA from 1 species